GACGAAGGUGGCGAGCGUUGUUCGGAAUCACUGGGCAUAAAGCGCACGUAGGCGGUGACGUAAGUCGGGUGUGAAAUCCCUCGGCCUAACCGAGGAACUGCGCCCGAUACUGCGUUGCUUGAGGACCAGAGGGGUGCAUGGAAUUUCCGGUGGAGCGGUGAAAUGCGUUGAUAUCGGAAGGAACUCCGGCGGCGAAAGCGAUGCACUGGCUGGUUUCUGACGGCUGAGGUGCGAAAGCCAGGGGAGCAAACGGG
rnacentral:rRNA from 1 species